rnacentral:rRNA from 1 species
AGGCCGUGGGGGCAGCUACCAUGCAGUCGAGCGGAUGAGGGUAGCUUGCUACCUGAUUCAGCGGCGGACGGGUGAGUAAUGCCUAGGAAUCUGCCCGAUAGUGGGGGACAACGUUUCGAAAGGAACGCUAAUACCGCAUACGUCCUAUGGGAGAAAGUGGGGGAUCUUCGGACCUCACGCUAUCGGAUGAGCCUAGGUCGGAUUAGCUAGUUGGUGAGGUAAUGGCUCACCAAGGCGACGAUCCGUAACUGGUCUGAGAGGAUGAUCAGUCACACUGGAACUGAGACACGGUCCAGACUCCUACGGGAGGCAGCAGUGGGGAAUAUUGGACAAUGGGCGAAAGCCUGAUCCAGCCAUGCCGCGUGUGUGAAGAAGGUCUUCGGAUUGUAAAGCACUUUAAGUUGGGAGGAAGGGCAGUAAGUUAAUACCUUGCUGUUUUGACGUUACCAACAGAAUAAGCACCGGCUAACUUCGUGCCAGCAGCCGCGGUAAUACGAAGGGUGCAAGCGUUAAUCGGAAUUACUGGGCGUAAAGCGCGCGUAGGUGGUUCAGCAAGUUGGAUGUGAAAGCCCCGGGCUCAACCUGGGAACUGCAUCCAAAACUACUGAGCUAGAGUACGGUAGAGGGUGGUGGAAUUUCCUGUGUAGCGGUGAAAUGCGUAGAUAUAGGAAGGAACACCAGUGGCGAAGGCGACCACCUGGACUGAUACUGACACUGAGGUGCGAAAGCGUGGGGAGCAAACAGGAUUAGAUACCCUGGUAGUCCACGCCGUAAACGAUGUCAACUAGCUGUUGGGUUCCUUGAGAACUUAGUAGCGCAGCUAACGCGAUAAGUUGACCGCCUGGGGAGUACGGGCCGCAAGGUUAAAACUCAAAUGAAUUGACGGGGGCCCGCACAAGCGGUGGAGCAUGUGGUUUAUUCGAAGCACGCGAGACCUUACCUGGCCUUGACAUGCUGAGACUUUCCAGAGAUGGAUUGGUGCCUUCGGGAACUCAGACCCAGUGC